CACGAAACGUUCGUUCGCAACCACAGAAACCUAAAAUAUAUUGUAUUUUUAUGAAUUAUGAUAAAAAGAAUAAAUAGUUGGGUAGGUUUAUCAUAUAAUACAUAAAAAUAAAAUAAAUACAAUAUAUUUUAGGUUUCUGUGGCGGCGAGCAAACGUUUCGUG